rnacentral:rRNA from 1 species
AUUGAACGCUGGCGGCAUGCCUUACACAUGCAAGUCGAACGGCAGCGCGGGAGCAAUCCUGGCGGCGAGUGGCGAACGGGUGAGUAAUACAUCGGAACGUGCCCAAUCGUGGGGGAUAACGCAGCGAAAGCUGUGCUAAUACCGCAUACGAUCUACGGAUGAAAGCAGGGGAUCGCAAGACCUUGCGCGAAUGGAGCGGCCGAUGGCAGAUUAGGUAGUUGGUGAGGUAAAGGCUAACCAAGCCUUCGAUCUGUAGCUGGGUUGAGAGGACGACCAGCCAACUGGGACUGGAGACACGGCCCAGCUCCCUAGGGGAGGCAGCAGGGGGAAUUUUGGGAAAAGGGGGGAAACCUUGACCAAGCCCGCCGGGGGGGAGGAGAAAGUCUUCCGGGUUGAAAACUGUUUUUGUAGGGAAGAAAACGGUUUUUUUAAAAAAAGAAGGUUAAGGCGGUACCCGAAAAAAAAACCCCGGCUAACUUCGGG